rnacentral:rRNA from 1 species
ACUAUAAAUUUUAAUCCAACAUCGAGGUCGCAAACUUUUUUAUUGAUAAGAACUCUCCAAAAAAAUUACGCUGUUAUCCCUAAGGUAAUUUAAUCUUUAAAUCAAAAAAAUUGGAUCUAUUAAAUCAUAUAUAAAUGUAAAAAAUAAUAAAAGUUAAUUAAAUUUUUAUGUCACCCCAACCAAAUAAAUUCAUAUAUCUAUAAAAAUAAAUACUUCAAUAUAUAAAAAAAUAAAUUUAUUAAACUCUAUAGGGUCUUCUCGUCUUUAAAAAACAUUUAAGCUUUUUAACUUAAUAAUAAAAUUCUAAUUAAAUUAAAUUGAGACAGAAUUUUUCUCAUUCAACCUUUCAUACUAGUUCUUAAUUAAAAAACUAAUGAUUAUGCUACCUUUGCACAGUCAAAAUACCGCGGCCAUUUAAAAAUCAUUGGGCAGGUUAGACUUUAAAUCAAAAUCAAAAAGCC